CUUGGUCAUUUAGAGGAAGUAAAAGUCGUAACAAGGUUUCCGUAGGUGAACCUGCGGAAGGAUCAUUAAAGAGACGUUGCCCUUCGGGGUAGACCUCCCACCCUUUGUUUACCGUACCUUUGUUGCUUUGGCAGGCCCGUCCUCGGACCGCCGGCUUCGGCUGGUCUGCGCCUGCCAGAGGACCCAAAACUCUGUCUGUCUGUGUCGUCUGAGUACUAUAUAAUAGUUAAAACUUUCAACAACGGAUCUCUUGGUUCUGGCAUCGAUGAAGAACGCAGCGAAAUGCGAUAAGUAAUGUGAAUUGCAGAAUUCAGUGAAUCAUCGAAUCUUUGAACGCACAUUGCGCCCUCUGGUAUUCCGGAGGGCAUGCCUGUUCGAGCGUCAUUACAACCCUCAAGCUCUGCUUGGUAUUGGGCACUGCCGGUCCUGGCAGGCCUCAAAGUCAGUGGCGGUGCCACCCGGCUCCAAGCGUAGUAAUUCUUCUCGCUUCGGAGGCCGCGGUGCGCGCUGCCAGCAACCCCCAAUUUUUUCAGGUUGACCUCGGAUCAGGUAGGGAUACCCGCUGAACUUAAGCAUAUCAAUAAGCGGAGGA
rnacentral:rRNA from 1 species